rnacentral:rRNA from 1 species
UGGGGAAUAUUGGACAAUGGGCGCAAGCCUGAUCCAGCCAUGCCGCGUGAGUGAUGAAGGCCCUAGGGUUGUAAAGCUCUUUUACCGGUGAAGAUAAUGACGGUAACCGGUGAAGAAGCCCCGGCUAACUUCGUGCCAGCAGCCGCGGUAAUACGAAGGGGGCUAGCGUUGUUCGGAUUUACUGGGCGUAAAGCGCACGUAGGCGGACUUUUAAGUCAGGGGUGAAAUCCCGGGGUUCAACCCCGGAACUGCCUUUGAUACUGGAAGUCUUGAGUAUGGUAGAGGUGAGUGGAAUUCCGAGUGUAGAGGUGAAAUUCGUAGAUAUUCGGAGGAACACCAGUGGCGAAAGCGGCUCACUGGACCAUUACUGACGCUGAGGUGCGAAAGCGUGGGGAGCAAACAGG